AUUGAACGCUGGCGGCAGGCCUAACACAUGCAAGUCGAACGAGUGGCGGACGGGUGAGUAAUGUAGGGGAAACUGCCUGAUGGAGGGGGAUAACUACUGGAAACGGUAGCUAAUACCGCAUACCAUCAGAUGUGCCCAGAUGGGAUUAGUGGGUUGGUGGGGUAACGGCUCACCAAGGCGACGAUACCUAGCUGGUCUGAGAGGAUGACCAGCCACACUGGAGCUGAGACCCGGUCCCGCCUCCGACGGGAGGCAUCAGUGGGGAAUAGUGCACAAUGGGCUCAAGCCUUAUGCAGCCAUGCCGCGGGUAUGAAGAAGGCCUUCGGGUUGUAAAGUACGUUCAUCGUGGAGGCGUUACCCGCAGAAGAAGCACCGGCUAACUCCGUGCCAGCAGCCGCGGUAAUUC
rnacentral:rRNA from 1 species